UACGGGGGGGGGUAAGCGUUGUUCGGAAUUACUGGGCGUAAAGGCUCGUAGGCGGCCAACUAAGUCAGACGUGAAAUCCCUCAGCUUAACUGGGGAACUGCGUCUGAUACUGGAUGGCUUGGAUUCGGGAGAGGAAUGCGGAAUUCCAGGUGUAGCGGUGAAAUGCGUAGAUAUCUGGAGGAACACCGGUGGCGAAGGCGGCAUCCUGGACCGGUAUUGACGCUGAUGCGCGAAAGCCAGGGGAGCAAACGGG
rnacentral:rRNA from 1 species